UACGUAGGGGGCAAGCGUUGUUCGGAAUUACUGGGCGUAAAGCGCACGUAGGCGGGUUGUUAAGUCAGGGGUGAAAUCCUGGAGCUCAACUCCAGAACUGCCUUUGAUACUGGCAACCUAGAGACUGGAAGAGGUUAGUGGAAUUCCCAGUGUAGAGGUGAAAUUCGUAGAUAUUGGGAAGAACACCAGUGGCGAAGGCGGCUAACUGGUCCAGCACUGACGCUGAGGUGCGAAAGCGUGGGGAGCAAACAGG
rnacentral:rRNA from 1 species